rnacentral:tRNA from 2 species
GCCCCCGUGGCCCAACUGGCAGAGGCAGCCGGCUUAAACCCGGCCCAGGUGCGAGUUCGACUCUCGUCGGGGGCACCC